rnacentral:rRNA from 1 species
AUUGCCUCAGUAACGGCGAGUGAAGCGGCAACAGCUCAAAUUUGAAAUCUGGCCCCCGGCCCGAGUUGUAAUUUGCAGAGGAUGCUUUUGGCGCGGUGCCUUCCGAGUUCCCUGGAACGGGACGCCAUAGAGGGUGAGAGCCCCGUCUGGUCGGACACCAAGCCUCUGUAAAGCUCCUUCGACGAGUCGAGUAGUUUGGGAAUGCUGCUCAAAAUGGGAGGUAUAUGUCUUCUAAAGCUAAAUACCGGCCAGAGACCGAUAGCGCACAAGUAGAGUGAUCGAAAGAUGAAAAGCACUUUGGAAAGAGAGUUAAACAGCACGUGAAAUUGUUAAAAGGGAAGCGUUUAUGACCAGACUUGGGCCGGUUGAUCAUCCAGCGUUCUCGCUGGUGCACUCUGCCGGCCCAGGCCAGCAUCAGUUCGCCGCGGGGGAUAAAGGCUUGGGGAAUGUGGCUCCUCGGAGUGUUAUAGCCCCCUGCGCAAUACCCUGCGGCGGACUGAGGUUCGCGCACUGCAAGGAUGCUGGCGUAAUGGUCAUCAACGACCCGUCUUGAAACACGGACCAAGGAGUCGUCUUCGUAUGCGAGUGUUCGGGUGUCAAACCCCUACGCGUAAUGAAAGUGAACGCAGGUGAGAGCUUCGGCGCAUCAUCGACCGAUCCUGAUGUUCUCGGAUGGAUUUGAGUAAGAGCAUACGGGGCCGGACCCGAAAGAAGGUGAACUAUGCCUGUAUAGGGUGAAGCCAGAGGAAACUCUGGUGGAGGCUCGCAGCGGUUCUGACGUGCAAAUCGAUCGUCAAAUAUGGGCAUGGGGGCGAAAGACUAAU